rnacentral:misc_RNA from 1 species
GAUGAAGAACGCAGCGAAAUGCGAUAAGUAGUGUGAAUUGCAGAAUUCAGUGAAUCAUCGAAUCUUUGAACGCACAUUGCGCCCCUUGGUAUUCCAUGGGGCAUGCCUGUUCGAGCGUCAUUUGUACCUUCAAGCUUUGCUUGGUGUUGGGUGUUUGUCUCGCCUUUGCGUGUAGACUCGCCUUAAAAUAAUUGGCAGCCGGCGUAUUGAUUUCGGAGCGCAGUACAUCUCGCGCUUUGCACUCAUAACGACAGCGUCUAAAAGUACAUUUUACACUCUUGACCUCGGAUCAGGUAGGGAUACCCGCUGAACUUAAGCAUAUCAAUAAGCGGAGGA